GGGGUUGUGGCUCGGUGGUAGAGUGCUUGCCUAGCAUGCAUGAGGCCCUAGGUUGGAUCCCUGGCAUACAUA
rnacentral:tRNA from 1 species